UGCAGUCGACGACCCUUCGGGGUUAGUGGCGGACGGGUGAGUAACACGUGGGAACGUACCCUUAGGUUCGGAACAACACAGGGAAACUUGUGCUAAUACCGAAUGUGCCCUUCGGGGGAAAGAUUUAUCGCCUUUGGAGCGGCCCGCGUCUGAUUAGCUUGUUGGUGAGGUAAAGGCUCACCAAGGCUACGAUCAGUAGCUGGUCUGAGAGGAUGAUCAGCCACACUGGGACUGAGACACGGCCCAGACUCCUACGGGAGGCAGCAGUGGGGAAUCUUGCGCAAUGGGCGAAAGCCUGACGCAGCCAUGCCGCGUGAAUGAUGAAGGUCUUAGGAUUGUAAAAUUCUUUCACCGGGGAAGAUAAUGACGGUACCCGGAGAAGAAGCCCCGGCUAACUUCGUGCCAGCAGCCGCGGUAAUACGAAGGGGGCUAGCGUUGCUCGGAUUUACUGGGCGUAAAGGGCGCGUAGGCGGACAGUCUAGUCAGAGGUGAAAGCCCGGGGCUCAACCUCGGAAUUGCCUUUGAUACUGGCUGUCUUGAGUACGGGAGAGGUGUGUGGAACUCCGAGUGUAGAGGUGAAAUUCGUAGAUAUUCGGAAGAACACCAGUGGCGAAGGCGACACAC
rnacentral:rRNA from 1 species